rnacentral:rRNA from 1 species
CACGGGGGGAGCAAGCGUUGUUCGGAAUCACUGGGCGUAAAGGGCGCGUAGGCGGCCACCGCAAGUCGACUGUGAAAUCUCCGGGCUUAACUCGGAAAGGUCAGCCGAUACUGCGGGGCUAGAGUGCAGAAGGGGCAACUGGAAUUCUCGGUGUAGCGGUGAAAUGCGUAGAUAUCGAGAGGAACACCUGUGGCGAAGGCGGCUCACUGGCCCGAUACUGACGCUGAGGCACGAAAGCGUGGGGAGCAAACAGG